AGAGUUUGAUCAUGGCUCAGAUUGAACGCUGGCGGCAUGCUUUACACAUGCAAGUCGAGCGGCAGCGCGGGGGCAACCCUGGCGGCGAGCGGCGAACGGGUGAGGAGUACAUCGGAACGUACCCCGGAGUGGGGGAUAACCCAGCGAAAGUUGGGCUAAUACCGCAUAUGCUCUGAGGAGGAAAGUGGGGGACUCGCAAGGGCCUCACGCUCUGGGAGCGGCCGAUGUCCGAUUAGCUUGUUGGUGGGGUAAUGGCUUACCAAGGCGACGAUCGGUAGCUGGUCUGAGAGGAUGAUCAGCCACACUGGGACUGAGACACGGCCCAGACUCCUACGGGAGGCAGCAGUGGGGAAUUUUGGACAAUGGGGGCAACCCUGAUCCAGCCAUGCCGCGUGCGGGAAGAAGGCCUUCGGGUUGUAAACCGCUUUUGGCCGGGAAGAAAAGGCGCCACCUAAUACGGGGCGUUCUUGACGGUACCGGCAGAAUAAGCACCGGCUAACUACGUGCCAGCAGCCGCGGUAAUACGUAGGGUGCGAGCGUUAAUCGGAAUUACUGGGCGUAAAAGCGUGCGCAGGCGGUCUGUUAUGUCUGAUGUGAAAGCCCCGGGCUCAACCUGGGAAUGGCAUUGGAAACUGGCAGGCUCGAGUAUGGCAGAGGGGGGUGGAAUUCCGCGUGUAGCAGUGAAAUGCGUAGAGAUGCGGAGGAACACCGAUGGCGAAGGCAGCCCCCUGGGCCAAUACUGACGCUCAGGCACGAAAGCGUGGGGAGCAAACAGGAUUAGAUACCCUAGUAGUCC
rnacentral:rRNA from 1 species